UUUUUUUUUGAUGUAAUGCAUUUGGGACACAAUGUCUCCCGAGUUUAUUAUAUAUAAAAGUUUGUUUAGGACACGUAUUCACAGUCUUGUUAUCACUAACAAGUGUCUCUAAAAUUGGCGGAACAUAAUCAAAAUGAUAACCUAGCUGUAAAAAAUAGCAUAGUUAGUUAUCAUUUGCGAGUUAAUUAGCUUUCUUAUACAAAUGAGAAAUCCGGACAAUUCAGUCCCUUGAAUAUAUACCGUCAUGGCGCAAAUAUACCAAAAAAGACAGCGGAUGUGGCAUGUCGUGAGAAAUCC
rnacentral:sRNA from 1 species